UUCUCUAUAUUAAAUCUUCACUUGGCUAAAAUAAAGAACAGCAAAUUAUAAGCAAGCUUUGCUUUGGUUUCUAAUAAAGGAUUUCCAUUCAAAAUCAUCACUACUUUUAUUAAGAUGAAAUUAGGGAGACAAAAACAAAGAAUAAAAUAAGCAAAUAACAUUACUCUAUAGCUCAUAUGCUGGUCAUUAAUCUUUAAUUAGGAUAAUAUAAUAUAUAAAUAUAUAUAAUAUCGUCAAGAGCAGCUGGAGAUUAUUCUUCUUCUUGUUGGUCUGCUUCGUUCAAACCCUAUGGUUCAGCAGCUGGUUUUGGCUUGUUGCCUGCUUGUGGCUUUCCGUUUCUUCGGUCUUCCUCGCGCCAUGAGCAGCACGUAAGUGACAGAAGAAAAACCAGAAAUAUGAGUACGAGAAUCUUCCCGAUGGCAGACCAAGGAUGAGCAGCUAUGUCUGUGAUCAAAUGACCCAUAAAAGCCAUGCUUGCUAGAAAGAAUAACCUUCAAACUCAAAGGCCAAACGUUGAGGAAUUCUCCAAAGGAUGGAACGCCCAAGCUGGUACUAGUAGCUGCUUCCU
rnacentral:lncRNA from 1 species